UUUAACCUUCAAAAACAAAUGAACUAAAAAACAGACAGAGGACAGAAAUACAUCUUUGAAGUUGAAAUGAGUUCAUUUUGUUUUUGGAACAAGAGCAGGUUCUUUUCACACUAGCAUGGGCACUUAGCAUAAGUAACCAUUCAUCAGGCCAGAAAAAGUGGAAGGAGUCAUGGGAUUGAAAGCAUCAAGGAGUCUUGAGAGUCUACUUUUAACCCAUUUAAUUUCCUGCUAAAGUAAAAUUUCUUCCAUUUGUGUCAGCCCUUUGGGGUCAGCAUACAGCAGCGGUCUCCUCUGUGGUUUUUGUUUUUUUUUUUUUUUUCUGGAAACAACCCAGUUCAGAGCUCUGAAAGAUGUUCAGCAGGUUCUGUCCUGCUGUGUGGCUGAUGAAACUGGUAGGCCAGCCACUUCCUCUUGGUUACCAUGGAAAUGAUCAGGCCGCUGGCCCUCCGAAAACGGAAAAGAACAGCAAGUUCAAGACCACGCAUUCCACCCCGGCUUGCAGAUGAAACCAGCUGUCAAGCCAGGGUGAAGGAUCAGCGGCCAGGCAGAGGCUUGAGGGACAGAAAGACAAGGCACCACCGUGGAACCCUAAGAUAAUCGUUGGAACUUGAACACAGAUGAAAGCAAAAGCCUAAGGCUUACGUCUUAA
rnacentral:lncRNA from 1 species